AUUGAACGCUGGCGGCAUGCCUUACACGCGCAAGUCGAACGGUAACGGGCCUUCGGGUGCCGACGAGUGGCGAACGGGUGAGUAAUGUAUCGGAACGUACCUUUCAGUGGGGGAUAACGUAGCGAAAGUUGCGCUAAUACCGCAUAUUCCGUGAGCAGGAAAGCAGGGGAUCGAAAGACAUUGCGCUGAUUGAGCGGCCGAUAUCAGAUUAGCUAGUUGGUGAGGUAAAGGCUCACAAAGGCGACGAUCUGGAGCGGGUCUGAGAGGAUGAUCCGCCACACUGGAACUGGGACACGGUCUAGACUCCUACGGGAGGCAGCAGUGGGGAAUUUUGGACAAUGGGGGCAACCCGGAUCCAGCCAUGCCGCGUGAGUGAAGAAGGCCUUCGGGUUGUAAAGCUCUUACGGCCGGGAAGAAAUCGUAUCAGCUAAUACCUGGUGCGGAUGACGGUACCGGCAUAAGAAGCACCGGCUAACUACGUGCCAGCAGCCGCAGUAAAAC
rnacentral:rRNA from 1 species